rnacentral:misc_RNA from 1 species
AACUUUUGGCAACGGAUCUCUUGGUUCCCGCAUCGAUGAAGAACGCAGCGAAACGCGAUAGUUAAUGUGAAUUGCAGAAUUCAGUGAAUCAUCGAAUCUUUGAACGCACCUUGCGCUCCUUGGUAUUCCGAGGAGCAUGCCUGUUUGAGUGUCAUUAAUAUAUAUAUAUCAAACUUCUCUUGUUGAGUGGUUUGGAUGUGGGGGUUUGCUGGCCUCUUAAAGAGUUCAGCUCCCCUAAAAUGCAUUAGCAGAACAAACCUGUUCAUUGGUGUGAUAACUAUCUACGCUAUUGAAUGUGAGGGGCAGUUCAGCUUUCUAACAGUCCUUGGACAAUUCAUCAUUAAUGUGACCUCAAAUCAGGUAGGACUACCCGCUGAACUUAAGCAUAUCAAUAAGCGGAGGCU